AUUGAACGCUAGCGGCAUGCCUUACACAUGCAAGUCGAACGGUAACAGGUCUUCGGACGCUGACGAGUGGCGAACGGGUGAGUAAUACAUCGGAACGUGCCCAGUAAUGGGGGAUAGCCCGGCGAAAGCCGGAUUAAUACCGCAUACGACCUACGGGUGAAAGCGGGGGAUUCGCAAGAACCUCGCGUUAUUGGAGCGGCCGAUGUCAGAUUAGGUAGUUGGUGGGGUAAAGGCCUACCAAGCCUGCGAUCUGUAGUUGGUCUGAGAGGACGACCAGCCACACUGGGACUGAGACACGGCCCAG
rnacentral:rRNA from 1 species